rnacentral:tRNA from 2 species
CGGGGAGUGGCGUAGCUUGGUAGCGCACCUGACUGGGGGUCAGGAGGUCGCCGGUUCAAAUCCGGCCUCCCCGACCA